UAAAAAGAUUAUUUAUUUUAGGGAGGGAGUGAGCCAGCGGGGUGGGGAGGGGCCAAUGAAGAGGGAUAGAAUCCUGAAGCCAACUCCUCACUGAGUAUGGAGCCCAACUCGGGGUUCCAGGCUCUAUUCCAUGACUCUGAGAUCAUGACUUGAGCUGAAAUCAAGAGUUGGAUGCUUAACUGACUGAGCCACCAAGGCACCCUCAUUAAGUGAUUUUUAAGGAAUCUGAAUCUUGAACUUUCCGAAGAGAGGAUCUGGGCUUCAGAGUUCUUACCAGCAAGAAACAGUGUUACCGUAACACAUACAGGAGCAGUUCAGCAAUCUCCUCUGUCCUGGGACCAGGAGAACAGAGGAGGGACGAGCAAGCAGAUCCCCAGAUAGAUUGAUUCAUCAGAGUUGUGUACUGCACAUUUUAAACUUGAGGUUAGUUUGGAAAAAAAAAUGUUGAUAGGCAAUCUUUAUGCAGCCUAUAGCAGGUAAUGGGA
rnacentral:lncRNA from 1 species